rnacentral:lncRNA from 1 species
CUUGUGUCAGCUGUUAUUCCUUUCUUUCAAUCCGUAGUAAAGCUGCAAUCGGAAAAAAGCGGAGCUCCCCUGAAGUGUGAUAGGAACGGAACGGAUCAAGGAAAAAAUCAAGUAAGUUCACUCCUAUAAAUUGGUUCAUCAUUCAUAUCAAAUGAUCAAACUACCUUUAUAAUUAAAUCAAUUGAGAUUUUGAAACUGAUAUGAUUAGCCUAGAUUUGUAUAAUUUAUUAUGUCUUCCUAUGUCACGAUCUAUUUUUAGUUGAUCAAUAUAAGUUUUUAUUUUUUAUUUAUUUUUUUUUAUUUUUUUUAACUUAUGGCAUUAGUGGAAGAAGUAUCCGUAUCUUCAAAUGAAGAGGAAAUCAACGAAGGAAGUAAUGAUUGUAGGAAAUAUCUUCUGCAUAAUUGCAGAAUUAAUGUGUAUAUAUUUACCUUUCGUGAUAGUUUGAUGCUAUAUUUAUUUUCCUUUCAAUGUAUAAUAAAUCAGAUCCCACUGAUUGAGUAUCAUUGCUGUCAUGCCUUAGAAUUAGCUUAGUGC